rnacentral:rRNA from 1 species
AGUGAACGCUGGCGGUAGGCCUAACACAUGCAAGUCGAACGGCAGCACAGUAAGAGCUUGCUCUUACGGGUGUCGAGUGGCGGACGGGUGAGGAAUACAUCGGAAUCUACUUUUUCGUGGGGGCUAAGGAAGGAAAAUUUCCUCAAAACCGCCAUAGACCGUCGGGGGAAAGGCAGGGAUUCUCUUACCUUGCCGGUAUGAAAGAACCCGAUGUCGGAUAGGCUAGUUGGCGGGUUAAAGGCCCACCAGGGCGACGAUCGGUAGCUGGCCUGAGAGACUGAUCAGCCACACUGGAACUGAGACACGGUCAAGACUCCUAGGGGAGGAAGAAGUGGGGAAUAUUGGCGAAUGGGCGCAAGCCUGAUCCAGCCAUACCGCGUGGGUGAAGAAGGCAUUCGGGUUGUAAAGCCCUUUUGUUGGGAAAGAAAAGAAGCAGGUUAAUACCCCGCUGUUCUGACGGUACCCAAAGAAUAAGCACCGGCUAACUUCGUG